rnacentral:rRNA from 1 species
UACGAAGGGUGCAAACGUUGCUCGGAAUUAUUGGGCGUAAAGCGCACGUAGGCGGCUUUGCACGUCGGAUGUGAAAUCCCCAGGCUUAACCUGGGAACUGCGUCUGAUACUGGAUGGCUUGAAUCCGGGAGAGGGAUGCAGAAUUCCAGGUGUAGCGGUGAAAUGCGUAGAUAUCUGGAGGAAUACCGGUGGCGAAGGCGGCAUCCUGGACCGGCAUUGACGCUGAGGAGCGAAAGCUAGGGGAGCAAACGGG